rnacentral:miRNA from 1 species
AAAAACCGUCGCCCCCGCGAAGACGGGGGCCGCUGUCGGCCUUGCCCCGCGAUGAAAGCGUAAACCUCCAGCGGCCCCCGCCUUCGCGGGGGCGACGAACGGC